GACGAACGCUGGCGGCGCGCUUAACACAUGCAAGUCGAACGGAAAGGCCCUGCUUUUGUGGGGUGCUCGAGUGGCGAACGGGUGAGUAACACGUGAGUAACCUGCCCUUGACUUUGGGAUAACUUCAGGAAACUGGGGCUAAUACCGGAUAGGAGCUCCUGCUGCAUGGUGGGGGUUGGAAAGUUUCGGCGGUUGGGGAUGGACUCGCGGCUUAUCAGCUUGUUGGUGGGGUAGUGGCUUACCAAGGCUUUGACGGGUAGCCGGCCUGAGAGGGUGACCGGCCACAUUGGGACUGAGAUACGGCCCAGACUCCUACGGGAGGCAGCAGUGGGGAAUAUUGCACAAUGGGCGGAAGCCUGAUGCAGAAACGCCGCGUGCGGGAUGAAGGCCUUCGGGUUGUAAACCGCUUUCGCCUGUGACGAAGCGUGAGUGACGGUAAUGGGUAAAGAAGCACCGGCUAACUACGUG
rnacentral:rRNA from 1 species